CACUGAUGAGCAACCCUAUUUCAGUGUGAUUUGAACUUGGGCUUAGUGUGAAACUACUGAAGCUUUAGAGGGAUGUGGUGGACAAUCCUGCUCUUAGACUCACCACUAAUGCAUCGCAGCUUUAUAGCAGACAGACAAGUGAAAGAAAAGCCUUUUGAAGUUGAACCUGCCAGUGGAGAGGACAAGCCUCAAGAAGCCUCAUCAGGCCAGCUGCUGCAGAAGACAGCUCCCAGCUCAGAAUAAGGACGCUGCUGUGUGUCUUCAGAUGAUGGAGGAGGACAUCAGGAGACAACACACCAGGUGUUGCUGUUGAGAUAAUGGAGGUCAAAGAUGGAGAUCCAACAGCCGGCACUUUGGGUAAGAGAGAACAACUCUAAGACUCUACACGGUGUUGAAUGAUUUGCACUUCAGCUUUUGUUGGUUUCAAAAAAUAAAAGUGCCCCAUAAGGAUUGAAUAUAGUGUGUACAUUUGAUAUGAAUCCAGAACAGUUCCCACAGAGGCUUGUUAUCUUUCAGAACAACAUCUCAUCGACUGAGAUCACAGGAAGCUAUUUCCAACACUGCCUCCUCUCACACUUUGAAGUCCACAGCUUUAGCUGUUUCCCAGACUCGUGCCAUAAUUCAGGGCAACAUAGUUACAGAUUAAACAAAACCGACAAACCAUCAUCAAAUGUGUUAGUCCUGUUUAGUUCCACCACAAGCCUGCAGCUUCUCUGGAAUAUGUUCUUUCUUUAAAAACAUAUUCCAUCAUCUGGUGUGUUAUGUUUUUUAAUUUCAUACAUAUUCACUGUGAAACUGGAUUCAUAAAGUUUCAUCAUUCAUUUGGAUCAGUAAAACAAAUCCCUCCAUGCCAUGCUGUCACUGUGAGUGUGAGUGUGAGUGUGAAUGGGUUUUUUCUGUUAAGGUAUAAACACGUCAUAUAAGUGGAGUCCAUUUAGCUUCAUGGUUAAAGGAAACCAACAUAAACUGAACACCAGAACACCUCCUGUGUCAGCAUCAAACAUUCUGUACUGUUACCACUUUGUAGUGAGGCUCAUUGAAGCUGUUGUAAUGUCUGUGUGUUAUAUUACAGAUGUCAGACCAGCAUGCAGAGAGGUGAGUAUCACACACACAUCCUCAUGUUAAAAACGUUAUAUGGGGGAGCACGAGUGUGUGUGUGUGUGUGUGUGUGUGUGUGUGUGUGUGUGUGUGUGUGUGUGUGUGUGUGUGUGUGUGUGUGUGUGUGUGUGUGUGUGUGUGUGUGUGUGUGUGUGUGUGUGUGUGUGUGAGUAACGUGUGUGGAAUGUCAGAGGAGCAGCAGCAUGACAGGAAGUUCAUAUUAUGUAGG